CCUACGGGAGGCAGCAGUGAGGAAUAUUGGUCAAUGGGCGAGAGCCUGAACCAGCCAAGUCGCGUGAAGGAUGACGGCCCUACGGGUUGUAAACUUCUUUUGUCAGGGAGCAAUUGGGUCCACGCGUGGGCGUAGCGAGAGUACCUGAAGAAAAAGCAUCGGCUAACUCCGUGCCAGCAGCCGCGGUAAUACGGAGGAUGCGCGCGUUAUCCGGAUUUAUUGGGUUGAAAGGGUGUGUAGGCGGAAUAUCAAGGCAGCGGUAAAAAGUCGGGGCUCAACCCGGUCGUGCCGUGGAAACUGGUGUUCUUGAGUGGGCGAGAAGUAUGCGGAAUGCGUGGUGUAGCGGUGACAUGCAGAGAUAUCACGCAGAACUCCGAUUGCGAAGGCAGCAUACCGGCGCCCAACUGACGCUGAAGCACGAAAGCGUGGGUAUCGAACAGGAUUAGAUACCCCUGUAGUC
rnacentral:rRNA from 1 species